rnacentral:rRNA from 1 species
AACGAACGCUGGCGGCGCGCCUAAUACAUGCAAGUCGAGCGGUAAGGCCCUUUCGGGGGUACACGAGCGGCGAACGGGUGAGUAACACGUGGGUGACCUGCCCUCAGCUCUGGGAUAAGCCUGGGAAACCGGGUCUAAUACUGGAUAUGACUCCAUGACGCAUGUUGUGGGGUGGAAAGCCUUGUGCGGCUGAGGAUGGGCCCGCGGCCUAUCAGCUUGUUGGUGGGGUGAUGGCCUACCAAGGCGA